rnacentral:rRNA from 1 species
GAUGAACGCUGACAGAAUGCUUAACACAUGCAAGUCGACUUGAACUUCGGUUUGGGUGGCGGACGGGUGAGUAACGCGUAAAGAACUUGCCUCACAGCUAGGGACAACAUUUGGAAACGAAUGCUAAUACCUGAUAUUAUGAUUAUAUGGCAUCGUAUAAUUAUGAAAGCUAUAUGCGCUGUGAGAGAGCUUUGCGUCCCAUUAGCUAGUUGGAGAGGUAACAGCUCACCAAGGCGAUGAUGGGUAGCCGGCCUGAGAGGGUGAUCGGCCACAAGGGGACUGAGACACGGCCCUUACUCCUACGGGAGGCAGCAGUGGGGAAUAUUGGACAAUGGACCGAGAGUCUGAUCCAGCAAUUCUGUGUGCACGAUGAAGUUUUUCGGAAUGUAAAGUGCUUUCAGUUGGGAAGAAAAAAAUGACGGUACCAACAGAAGAAGUGACGGCUAAAUACGUG